CCCUUAGAUGUCCGGGGCCGCACGCGCGCUACACUGGUCGAUGCAACGAGUUUCUUUCCUUGGCCGACAGGCCUGGGCAAUCUUUGAACAUCGAUCGUGAUCGGGAUAGAUUCUUGUAAUUUUUGAUCUUAAACGAGGAAUUCCUAGUAAACGCAAGUCAUCAGCUUGCAUUGAUUACGUCCCUGCCCUUUGUACACACCGCCCGUCGCACCUACCGAUUGAAUGGUCCGGUGAAAUCUCCGGACUGGCGUGAGUCGGAGCAAUCUGACAAACACCGGAAAGUUGAUUAAACCUUACCAUUUAGAGGAAGGUGAAGUCGUAACA
rnacentral:rRNA from 1 species